UACGUAGGGUGCGAGCGUUGUCCGGAAUUAUUGGGCGUAAAGAGCUCGUAGGCGGUGUGUCACGUCGGCCGUGAAAACCUGCAGCUUAACUGUGGGCGUGCGGUCGAUACGGGCAUCACUGGAGUUCGGCAGGGGAGACUGGAAUUCCUGGUGUAGCGGUGGAAUGCGCAGAUAUCAGGAGGAACACCAAUGGCGAAAGCAGCUUUCUGGGACGGUACUGACGCUGAGACGCGAAAGCGUGGGGAGCGAACAGG
rnacentral:rRNA from 1 species